CCCCUGCAAGCUAAUGGCUUGGAGGAGGGGUGCAUUUUUUUUGUUUACAAAUAUUGACUCAUUGUGAAAAAAGAAGUUUUGCACUGAUAUGGUUUGAUGAAAGGUUUUAAUGAAUGUUUACAUUGCCUCAGUAAACACUAGCUGCCACUUAUUUAGUGAGCCUUAGCAGUAAUAAAUAGGCCCAAUUAGUCCAUGGCUUCCGCGUCUCAGCUCGCCACGCGCUGAGCCCACCCAGAGCUUCAGAGUCAUGAACGCGUCAGUUUGUGGUUUGGACCCAUGGUGGCUGACGGAAGUGAGACCUAACAAUGAAAACAGCAAAGCGUGCCUUGGAGUUUGCUUUGAAACCUGAGUCUAACAGUGGCAGGGACAUAUGCAGUGACCCUAAUAAUAACAGCUGAGGCUACAAAGGAUGACCACCCCAUAGAGAAAAAACUUGUGAUCAUGAUGCAAGUUAAUAGAUAAACAUGGAGAAGAAAGAGCAAAUUUCCUUCCAAAAGUUCAAUGGCUGGGAGCAAUUAGUGUUGGGUUUGCCACUACUAUCUGAACACCCAAGCUGGCAGGAGGCACACUUGGUUUCAUCUCCAUUGAUUGAAGCAGUAGUGGCAUAUCUCUCAUAGUUGUAACAUGUCAAAGGUUUCAAGGAAGAAGACAGUC